GUGAGGAGAAAGGUGAGGAUGUCACCUGUCUGGUAAAAAUGACUGCUACAUUGUCUGGAUCAUUGUUUACUGUACAUGUCUCUUAGAUUUGCAUCGAUCUUCCUACUCUUGCUGAUAAAGAUAAGGAGGUAAUAAGCACAUGGGGUGUUCGAAACAAUAUUGACUUCCUUUCAUUAUAUACCCGACACGUUGAAGAUAUUCGUCAUGCGCGUGAAUUUCUUUCUAAAUUGGGUGACCGUAAGCAGACACAUAUUUAUGCAAAGAUUGAAAAUACAGAG